rnacentral:lncRNA from 1 species
CCAGUAGAAGCAAUAACAGAGCAAAGAUAGAGAAAUAGCAUCUUGACGAAAAAUCAAGCAAAAACACAUAGGACAUGACAUGAACAGAUAGAUUCACCUAAAUAAAGAAGAAGAAGAAGAAGAAGAAGAAGAAUAAGAGUUGUUUAUAAGAUUUUGAAAACCCUAAAUUGAACAGACUAAUAAAAAUAGGGAAAAGUAUCCAAAACUCGAGUAAAACACAGAUCUAGGAAAACAAAGGAAGAAAGAACCUUGAACAAGCCUUUUUUUAGGGUUUCUCAAAAUCCCUAGGAACAAGAAGGCUUGGAAAAGAUCUAGUCUUGAACAAGUCUGGACCAUGGAUGGGCCUUUCAAAGCUCGAACACGCUGGAACAGAGCAGGAGAAACCAAAAGAACUUAGAUCGGCGGAGGAUCUGAACAGGUUUUUGUUGAAAUCAAGCCUCAAAAUCUCGAACAACCAUGAUUUGUUGGUGAAUGGAAGAGGGUACAGGCCGUCCAUGGCAUAUGAAGCCAUGUACGCCAGUGGAUUUGGUUGGAGAGGAUGUUUAUGGCGGCAAGAGUUUUGAGCGUUAGAGAGACUCUGAGAGACGAGGGAGGUUGAGGGCGGCUG